GACGAACGCUGGCGGCGUGCUUAACACAUGCAAGUCGAACGGUGAAGGGAUCAGCUUGCUGGUUCUGGAUGAGUGGCGAACGGGUGAGUAACACGUGAGUAACCUGCCCCCUUCUUCUGGAUAACCGCAUGAAAGUGUGGCUAAUACGGGAUAUUCUGGGUCUGUCGCAUGAUGGGUCUGGGAAAGAUAUUGUAUCGGUGGGGGAUGGGCUCGCGGCCUAUCAGCUUGUUGGUGGGGUGAUGGCCUACCAAGGCGGUGACGGGUAGCCGGCCUGAGAGGGUGGACGGUCACACUGGGACUGAGACACGGCCCAGACUCCUACGGGAGGCAGCAGUGGGGAAUAUUGCACAAUGGGCGCAAGCCUGAUGCAGCGACGCCGCGUGAGGGAUGGAGGCCUUCGGGUUGUAAACCUCUUUCGCCAGUGAAGCAGGCCUGCUCCUUGUGGGUGGGUUGACGGUAGCUGGAUAAGAAGCGCCGGCUAACUACGUG
rnacentral:rRNA from 1 species